AUCACAGGCACAAUUUCCUGGCCAAUGCUCUUAAGAGUUGAGGUUGUUGAACCGGUGCGGGAAGUUCAUUUAACACGAAGCACAGUUUUACAGCUUUGUUAAUGUACUGACUGGAAUCAGAUCAGUCUCCAGAACGGGAUCAAGUCCAAGUCUUCAGGUCUGUUUUGAAAACAGGGAGCAAUUCCAUCAUUUUUCAUAGCAAUUCAUACCAAGUUUGGAUUUCAUGAUGGGUUUCUGACACAACUUAAGUGUUUUUAGCAGCUUGCCUGUUUAUUUCGGUGUCAUCCGGGACUCGCGGCAGUGACGCCUCAGCAUCCUCUGAUGACACGAGCUACAACCAUGACACCCCCUCAACCCCUCACACCUCGCAACCACCGCCCCAACAACCAAAGCGGAUGGGCUAGUGAUCCUUGACAGAGAGCCAGACAGAGAGACAUGGAGGCUGAGAGGACUUUGUCAUUUUACACAUUGUUUCACUCAGAACCCCUGAAUUAGAAACCGUAAAUACCAAAUAAAAAUCAAUGACAACUUUG